AUGGCCGUUGCGACCACGAAGCUGGCGACGGUGACCGGCGCAGCUAAGGCGGUCAUGGUGGUGGCAGCGGUGCUGGCGGCAGCGGUGGUCUCAGUGGACGGCCAGACGGACGGCUGCCGCUACAUUGACCCGACGGCGGGGAGGACCUGCGAGCUCGCGGCGGGCGGCGCCAUCCCGGGGCUCCUAGCGCACUGCUGCGCCAUCUUGUCCGCCGACCGGGGCAACUGCCUGCAGUGCCGGCUGCGGGAGCUGCUCGCCGGGAGGGAGCAGCCCCUCGCGGAGAUCUUCCCGUGCAUCGUCGAGGAGGCCGCCUGCCCGCUCGCGGGUCCAACCGAUGAUCGACCACCGUUGUUGUCAGCUGGCAUUUGA
rnacentral:rRNA from 1 species